UACGUAGGGGGCAAGCGUUGUUCGGAAUUACUGGGCGUAAAGGGCGCGUAGGCGGCAGGCCAAGUCGGGAGUGAAAGCCCGGGGCUCAACCCCGGAAUGUCUUUCGAAACUGGCCAGCUGGAGUGCGGAAGAGGCAACUGGAAUUCCCAGUGUAGCGGUGAAAUGCGUAGAUAUUGGGAAGAACACCUGAGGCGAAGGCGGGUUGCUGGGCCGACACUGACGCUGAGGCGCGAAAGCGUGGGGAGCGAACAGG
rnacentral:rRNA from 1 species